GAGUUUGAUCCUGGCUCAGAUUGAACGCUGGCGGCAUGCCUUACACAUGCAAGUCGAACGGCAGCACGGGAGCUUGCUCCUGGUGGGCGAGUGGCGAACGGGUGAGUAAUGCAUCGGAACGUAUCCUGGAGUGGGGGAUAACGUAGCGAAAGUUACGCUAAUACCGCAUAUUCUGUGAGCAGGAAAGCGGGGGACCUUCGGGCCUCGCGCUCUUGGAGCGGCCGAUGUCGGAUUAGCUAGUUGGUGAGGUAAGGGCUCACCAAGGCGACGAUCCGUAGCAGGUCUGAGAGGAUGAUCUGCCACACUGGAACUGAGACACGGUCCAGACUCCUACGGGAGGCAGCAGUGGGGAAUUUUGGACAAUGGGGGCAACCCUGAUCCAGCCAUGCCGCGUGAGUGAAGAAGGCC
rnacentral:rRNA from 1 species